GGGGAUGAUCGGCCUAGACAGGGAGAUCCGUCGGAUUGAUGCGCGAGAGAGCAGAAGUGACUCUUUAAUCCGCUUCAAACUUAAGUGCAGACUCAAUUGUCGCACGAGCCAAGUCAAUUGUUUCUCCGUAUUUUACGGCGAACGACUUCGCUUUCGCUUACGUUCGAGUUUAACUCCAACCUAGCGACAUAGCCUUCAAGAGUGUCUCGUGCUUGGAAAGCUGUGUAAUCAUUCGGGACUUAGAAACAGAAUUUCCUUGACCUGUUUUGAAACUUAGAGGAUAGAGAUUUAAGGGCUUUCGUUUGUUUUGUACCUUAUCUCUCGAAUUCAAUGAAGCAAACUACUUCGCGUAGAUUUCAUUCUGAUUUCUUCUUGCACGGCGGUUCGAUUCCGCCCAUCUCCACCA
rnacentral:tmRNA from 1 species